rnacentral:rRNA from 1 species
GAUGAACGCUGGCGGCGUGCCUAAUACAUGCAAGUCGAACGCAUAGCGAAAGGUGCUUGCACCUUUCAAGUGAGUGGCGAACGGGUGAGUAACACGUGGACAACCUGCCUCAAGGCUGGGGAUAACAUUUGGAAACAGAUGCUAAUACCGAAUAAAACUUAGUGUCGCAUGACACAAAGUUAAAAGGCGCUUCGGCGUCACCUAGAGAUGGAUCCGCGGUGCAUUAGUUAGUUGGUGGGGUAAAGGCCUACCAAGACAAUGAUGCAUAGCCGAGUUGAGAGACUGAUCGGCCACAUUGGGACUGAGACACGGCCCAAACUCCUACGGGAGGCUGCAGUAGGGAAUCUUCCACAGAGGGCGAAAGCCUGAUGGAGCAACGCCGCGUGUGUGAUGAAGGCUUUCGGGUCGUAAAGCACUGUUGUAUGGGAAGAACAGCUAGAAUAGGAAAUGAUUUUAGUUUGACGGUACCAUACCAGAAAGGGACGGCUAAAUACGUG